rnacentral:rRNA from 1 species
AUACGUAGGGUGCGAGCGUUGUCCGGAAUUACUGGGCGUAAAGAGCUCGUAGGUGGUUUGUCGCGUCGUCUGUGAAAUUCCGGGGCUUAACUCCGGGCGUGCAGGCGCUACGGGCAUAACUUGAGUACUGUAGGGGAGACUGGAAUUCCUGGUGUAGCGGUGAAAUGCGCAGAUAUCAGGAGGAACACCGGUGGCGAAGGCGGGUCUCUGGGCAGUAACUGACGCUGAGGAGCGAAAGCAUGGGUAGCGAACAGGAUUAGAUACCCUGGUAGUCCAUGCCGUAAACGGUGGGCGCUAGGUGUAGGGGUCUUCCACGACUUCUGUGCCGUAGCUAACGCAUUAAGCGCCCCGCCUGGGGAGUACGGCCGCAAGGCUAAAACUCAAAUGAAUUGACGGGG